rnacentral:rRNA from 1 species
UACGUAGGGGCCUAGCGUUGUCCGGAUUUAUUGGGCGUAAAGAGCUCGUAGGCGGUCUGUUACGUCUGCUGUGAAAACCCGGGGCUUAACCCUGGGCUUGCAGUGGAUACGUGCAGACUAGAGGCAGGUAGGGGAGAAUGGAAUUCCCGGUGUAGCGGUGAAAUGCGCAGAUAUCGGGAGGAACACCGGUGGCGAAGGCGGUUCUCUGGGCCUGACCUGACGCUGAGGAGCGAAAGCGUGGGGAGCGAACAGG